rnacentral:rRNA from 1 species
GACGAACGCUGGCGGCGUGCUUAACACAUGCAAGUCGAACGGAAAGGCCCUGCUUUUGUGGGGUGCUCGGGUGGCGAACGGGUGAGUAACACGUGAGUAACCUGCCCUUGACUUUGGGAUAACUUCAGGAAACUGGGGCUAAUACCGGAUAGGAGCUCCUGCUGCAUGGUGGGGGUUGGAAAGUUUCGGCGGUUGGGGAUGGACUCGCGGCUUAUCAGCUUGUUGGUGGGGUAGUGGCUUACCAAGGCUUUGACGGGUAGCCGGCCUGAGAGGGUGACCGGCCACAUUGGGACUGAGAUACGGCCCAGACUCCUACGGGAGGCAGCAGUGGGGAAUAUUGCACAAUGGGCGGAAGCCUGAUGCAGCAACGCCGCGUGCGGGAUGACGGCCUUCGGGUUGUAAACCGCUUUCGCCUGUGACGAAGCGUGAGUGACAGUAAUGGGUAAAGAAGCACCGGCUAACUACGUG